AUUGAACGCUGGCGGCAUGCUUUACACAUGCAAGUCGAACGGUAACAUGAAGAAGCUUGCUUCUUUGAUGACGAGUGGCGAACGGGUGAGUAAUGUAUCGGAACGUGCCCAGUAGUGGGGGAUAACUACUCGAAAGAGUGGCUAAUACCGCAUGAGAUCUCUGGAUGAAAGUGGGGGACCGCAAGGCCUCACGCUACUGGAGCGGCCGAUAUCAGGUUAGGUAGUUGGUGGGGUAAAGGCCCCCCAAGCCUGCGAUCUGUAGCUGGUCUGAGAGGACGACCAGCCACACUGGGACUGAGACACGGCCCAGACUCCUACGGGAGGCAGCAGUGGGGAAUUUUGGACAAUGGGCGCAAGCCUGAUCCAGCAAUGCCGCGUGCAGGACGAAGGCCUUCGGGUUGUAAACUGCUUUUGUACAGAACGAAAAGGCUCUGGUUAAUACCCGGGGCUCAUGACGGUACUGUGAGAAUAAGCACCGGCUAACUACGUGCCAGCCGCCGCCGUAAGAC
rnacentral:rRNA from 1 species